rnacentral:rRNA from 1 species
UGAGGAAUAUUGGUCAAUGGGCGAGAGCCUGAACCAGCCAUGCCGCGUGCAGGAAGACGGCCCUAAGGGUUGUAAACUGCUUUUUUACGGGGGUAAUAGCAGGUCUGCGGACUUGUAUGAAAGUACUGUAAGAAUAAGCGUCGGCUAACUACGUG